AUGAACAGGGGCGUGCCGCCGGCGUGGGGCGAGAUGGAGACGGACUGCCUGGUGCACGUCUUCCGCCGGCUGGCGCUGGAGGACGUGGCCGCCGCGGCGCCGCUCGUGUGCCGCGGCUGGCGCCGCGCGGCCGCGGACCCGUCCCUCUGGCGCGCGCUCGACCUGCGCCACGACCACGUCGCGCGCUUCAUGCCCUGGGGCCCCCUCGCCGCCGCCUUCGCGCGCCGCUACGGCGUCGCCCGCUUCGCCUUCGCGGGGUUCCUCACGCUCUGCCUCGCCCGCGCGGCGGGCUCCGCGUCCGACCUCGCGCUCCCGCCGCUCCUCUCCUCGCCGGCCGCCGAGCUCGACCGCGUCGCCGCCGGCUGCCCGAGGCUGCGCCGGCUCGCGCUCCCGCCGCUGCUCUCCGCCGCCGACGAGGCGCGCCUGCCGGAGCUCGUCCCGCGGUGGCCCCUCCUCCAGCGCCUGGAGCUCGAGUCCAAGCCGUCGUCCUUCCCGGCCGUCGCCGCGCAGCUCGCGCUGCACUGCCCGGACCUCUCCGGCCUCAAGACCUCCGGGGCCAUCAAGCCGGAGGACGCCGCGGCCAUGGUGGCCUCGCUGCCCAGGCUCCGGUCGCUGUGCCUCGACUCGUCCUACCUGCCCAAGCAGGAGCUGCUCGCCAUUCUCGCCGGCUGCAGUCAGCUCCAGGAAUUCAGCGCCAGGAACUGUGUCGGGUUCAACGAGAAGGACGAGGAGGUGGUCCGACGAGGCGCCAGGAUCGAGAGGUUCGAGAUCGGAGGGUCCAGAUUCGUCGACGAGAUGAUGACCGACGACGAGUUCUGCGGCUCUUCCUACGUCGACGUCAUGUGA
rnacentral:rRNA from 1 species